AUUGAACGCUGGCGGCAGGCUUAACACAUGCAAGUCGAGCGGGGUGAUGGUGCUUGCACUAUCACUUAGCGGCGGACGGGUGAGUAAGGCUUAGGAAUCUGCCUACUAGUGGGGGACAACAGCUCGAAAGGGAUGCUAAUACCGCAUACGUCCUACGGGCGAAAGCAGGGGAGCUUUAUGACCUUGCGCUAAUAGAUGAGCCAAAGUCGGAUUAGCUAGUUGGGGGGGUGAAGGCCUACCAAGGCGACGAUCUGUAGCGUGUCUGAGAGGAUGAUCCGCCACACGGGGACUGAGACACGGCCCAGACUCAUACGGGAGGCAGCAGUGGGGAAUAUUGGACAAUGGGGGGAACCCUGAUCCAGCCAUGCCGCGUGUGUGAAGAAGGCCUUAUGGUUGUAAAGCACUUUAAGCGAGGAGGAGGCUCUUUUGGUUAAUACCCAGAAUGAGUGGACGUUACUCGCAGAAUAAGCACCGGCUAACUCUGUGCCAGCCGCCGCCGUAA
rnacentral:rRNA from 1 species